UACGUAGGGGGCAAGCGUUGUCCGGAGUUACUGGGCGUAAAGGGCACGCAGGCGGUGCGGCGCGUUUCGCGUGACAGCGGGUGGCUUAACUGCCCGAGGAUGCGAAAGACGGCGGCACUUGAGGGCCAGAGAGGGACACGGAAUUCCGGGUGGAGUGGUGAAAUGCGUAGAGAUCCGGAGGAACACCGAAGGCGAAGGCAGGUCUCUGGGCCACUACUGACGCUGAGAAGCGAAAGCAUGGGGAGCGAACAGG
rnacentral:rRNA from 1 species